rnacentral:lncRNA from 1 species
UAGAUGUCAAAGUUUGACAACUAUGGUCUUCCCAAAUCCCGUGGAACAAGCAUUCCACAUGAAGAUGAUAUUCCACGAUUCGAUCGAGGAACAAGAGAUCAUACUUCACUUCCUCCACAUCCUCAAAUUAUUCUCCCUAACCCACAAGUUCAAAAGCUUGAAAAGUUCCAGAUCACUCAAGCCCUUUUGGAAAUUAAACAUAAAGAAGGAAAGUCCGUGUGUGCACACGUCCUAGGGAUGAAGUCACACAUUGAUAGGUUAAGAAUGUUGGGAUCCGUUGUCUGUGAGGAAAUGGCUGUUGAUUAGGUUCUUCAGUCACUUCCUAACUCAUAUAGUGAGUUCGUAAGAGAGUACUAUAUGAUGAACUACGACGUGACCCUUAUAGAUCUCACCUAUAUGCUUAUUGCUGCUGAAUCUGCAAUGAUAUGGCGCGAUAGAAAAGCAAAGUUGAUUGGUGAAUCUACCUUUGAGACCUUUAUGGAUAUAGACAAUGGCAACGAAAGACGUGCUAUGAUCGAAAAGUUUCAUCAGAAGAGAAAGGCGAUGUCUGAAGUAGUUCCAUGUCCGAAAGAGUCAAUUUGCUUUUAUUGCCAAGAGAAGGGGCAUUGGAGACGAAGCUGCCCCAUUUACCUAAGAGAUCUAAGAGAUGGGAGAGUCGAAACGUAUGGCUCUAAUUUAGGUAAAAUCCAUUGACUAACUCUUUUAAGCUUCAUUCUAGAUUCUGAAUACAUAAUGUGAUAAGAUUACAAUUGAUGUUUUUGUAGGAUCGAAGAAAAGAAAGGAAGCUUAAGAGAAGAAGUGAGCAGAAUCUAACCGUGAAGGAAUGGAUUUCGAUCGCGUUUCUUGAAGAUUAGAUUCUUGAGCUACUACUUGGAGUUAGAAUUAGACUGCUAAGAAAGAUGUAUUAGCAUAAGUUUUUCAAUGAGUUGCAUUGUAAGGACAAAAUUUUCCGCAAUAAAAUAAAUUUUGACUUUAAAUUUUAUUUAUUUAUCCCUACAAUGGCGUGUAUGAAAAAUUGAUGUUAAAAUGUUUCUAUUAUUAGCAAUAAUGGAUUUGGUUCAUAUUAUGAAUUUACCAAAUAGGGAGAGUUUCUCAUCGCCCAAGUUUCAAUUGGAUAGAAACUUGGAAUCAUGCAACAUGGAUGCACGAUGAAUGAGAAAUUUCGUAUUUGGAAAUUAGACUAAUUCAUUGACAAAGUGUCAAGUGAAGGACUAGGGGAUCGAGUACACAAAGUUGUGUGAUGAUCAAAGUCCACCAUAAGAGUAACGAGAUAUUCGUCAUGAUUUACUAAAGGUUUAGUAAAUAUGAUUAUACUUAUAAGAUUAAGUGUAAUUCUGAAUUGAUUGAAAAAGUUUAAAUCAAUAGUAGAACGAAUAACAAGAAUCAAGUAGGCAGAGAGAUAAAAGUUUCUCCAUUCUAAGAAGAAGGGAGAGUACCUUUUAUGCUUUAUGAUAGGUCUUAAUGAUUAAGAACCAUAUCUCAAUUGAUCCUCUAAGUGAGUCUUGGUACAAUUGUAUGUCCAAGAAGAGGAAUCAAAGAUUGAAGAAAUGGUCAAAUCAAGAAGUCAAUCAUACUUCGUUCCAAAACAAGUCUUAGAGUUAAGAUUGUGACAAUGAGUGAAAAGUAUUAAGAAGGUUUAAAACAUUCAUUAAAUGUGGUAAGUUGUGAUGUCUUAGAUAAGACAAAGACCAACUAGGACCAAUUUAUGAAGAGUUUUGAUAAAAGCUACACUAACUCUUGAAUAUUUGUUUGUCAAGAAAUGUUUAUUGACAAGAGAAUCUUAUAUGUCAAGGAGUCAGUGGGAGUCUUAAUGGUCUUGAAAGGUUUCAAGAACAAAUCAAAUAAACCUUAUCGAUCAUCACUAGCACACGAGUUGAGGUUUACAACCUAUCGUGUUGACAUUAUUUUGAUUCUGUGCCAAUCCAAUCGAGUUAAUUAUGCAUGUGAGUUCUAUGAGUUCUCAUUUUGAACGCAUAAAAGGCAAAGCACCUUAAUCAAUGAAAGGUACAUUGAUAGGAAAGGGUGAGCUGCUUAACUACUUGGAAGACAUGGUGGGCAGCUGUGCUACCAUAAGGCAAGAAAUCAAGAUUAAGAAAGUUCGGUCCAUAUGAGUUUGAAUUUGUCGUAAACUUUGGUUUUAACAAAUUCACAUGGAUAGGAACACAUACACCGUUUAAAUCUAAGUGUCAUAAGAUUUCCUCCUUCAUGAAAAUGAUUGUGAGGAAAUGCUUUCACUAAGAAAGAUUUUAAGAAGAUAGUGAUUGUAAAAUUGCAUUCUCGAAUUCGAUUAUGGUUACGGUAUCCCUUUCCAUAAUUUGAAUUGUGAGGUUUGGCAAUUAGUCUUAAUUGUUUAGACACACAUAUGAACUAUCGAAGGCAAAGGUGUAUAAGUUCAAGAAGCCUUGAUAAAAGAUUAUCAAAGCACUAAGUAUUAGAAACAUGAACUUAAGAAAUUCAAUAAGUAUUGUUUUUCUGAAAGUUAAGAUGUUUAUGAAUACAUGUCGAAGCUAGUGGGAGCAUAAGUGUUAUGUUUUAUAAUAAUCAUCAUGAUAGUGGGAGCAUAAAUGUUAUGAUUGUAUGAUUAUUAAGGAAAGUAUUGCAAGUUGGCAAUAUUAAUUAUAGAAAACAAGAGUUAUACCUUGCAAAGUCGUAAGGGUUGUAAAGUUGUUUUGCUAUAAUUAAGGGAGAGAAUAUUAUGCUUCAUUUCAAAUCUAAAGGAUUAGGUUGAGAAAUGUUAAUAAAUUUAGUCAAAGGUACAUAGUGUGUUCUUAAAAUUUCGAUUAUGAUUACGGCAUCCCUCUUCACAAUUCGAAUUUUGAGAACAUAGCAAAUAAAACAUUAUGCGUCGUGUCCCAUACGCUUCGGGUAUAGGAUCGAUUGCAAAUGCUUUAAUGUUUGACCAUUCUAAAAUUUUCCAAAUGUCGAGCGCAUUUAGAGGGAAAAGGGACUAGAAUUGGUUUUGACUAAAAUAAUUAAACAACUAUCAAAGGACAAUCCAAAGUUCGACGAGGAUUGGUCGCUUGUGAGUAGUUGGAAGCAUGGUAUUGGAUGGACCAUAUCGACAUUAUUAUGAAUAGAAAAGAUUCUAUUAAGAAUGAGUUGUCAUAUGGAAAAUAUGGAAACGUGUCCAUAUUGGGAAUUGAAUAUUGAAAAUCUAUGUCUAGAUUAGAAACUUUUAUGCAAAAGGAUGUUCAAAGGAAUGUACUUUGAGUGAGAGACAUCAUAUCUAAGGAAUUGUCUUGUAACAAUCUCCGAUAGAGGACUUUGUAAUAUCAUUGGCAAUAGUCUUUGUGACUUUGGUGCAGUGACAUUACGAAAGGAUAGUUGCAUAGAAUGUUAGAAUCUAGCAUAUUCUAUAAGUAGCAAGAAUUUGAUAUUCUUUGACUUAUGAAAAACGGAUUUGGAGUUGUGAAAUGAGAAGGAUUGGAAAUGUGUUCAAUGUGAUCUAUUUCACAAAGUAAGAACCAUAGGUAAACAUUGUGUGCAUGCUAGGAGCAUGGGACAAGUGUUGUAAUUCAAGUAAGAAGUUGAUUACCCGAAACGACAAAUAAUGAGUAAUCAAUAUGGUGAUAAAUAAAAGGUGUUUUAUUUAUACUCAAAGGUUUGAGGCCAUAUGGGAUUAGUAUUAUUCUUGUGUUUCACAUUUGCAUGUUUUGACUUCCAGAAUAAUUGAGUUUAUUAAGAAUAAUCGAAUUAUUCGAACGGGCCACAGUCGUUCAUAUGUUGGAAGUAGAUAUGAAUGAAGACUGUCGUGAAUUGGUGUGUGGAUUGUCUAAAAAAGUAUUAGACAUAAGCAAAUGUUUGCUGCAACGUUCAUGAGUGCUUAUGAAUAUGAUUUGAGCAUUGGAUUAAACCCACGCUCACUUGGAUCACUCCAUGAAUUGUAUCACGAGUGAUUGGUGAGACGAUAACAUCUUAUAUUCUUGAAACCGAGAUGUGUGAGUUGUAUCUUGCAAAUCGGUUGCACAUUGAUAAUAUGUAAACGCACUAGUAACUUGGUGUUAUAAAACAUAUUGUUGUGUGUGAUUCGGUGAGUGAGUGCAAGCAAGCAUUGUAUCAAAGUUUAUCCGUUCCUUUUAUCCAAAGUAGGAUAAAAGCGAUAUCUUUGGGCCCCUCGAUGAUUUAGUGAUGACAAACGUAAAUGCUCGGCCGGGCUAGGGCUAAUUUGAUUUGUUCAAUUAGUCAGUCGUCAUAAAUCGGAAAUCGAGAUAUAGUACAAAGAGAAUGAUUUGAAAUCAUAUCUCAUAUGAUAUCUAGAAUGGAGGAAUAUAUGAUCCCUUAUCUAAGGACACGCGUAUCUGAUAUGAUCAGAGUUGACAGCGGCUUUGGAAAGCUACGAUUGCAGAUCGGGAUCCGAAGUCAUACGCAGAAUAGUUGUUAGACUUAUCCAAGUGGGAGACUGUUGGAUUAGUGUCUAAGUCCAUAACUAUUUUGGUAUGUACUUGACCCGAUGGUGCAUGGUCCUUUUGGGUUGCCUUCACCAAAGCAACUUGAUUGGAGAAAUAAAUAGAGAGAGAGGUUAUUAUGAUUUAUUAAUAUGUUAUAAGAAUAAUAUAUUAAAGGAGAAAUCAUAUUUGUUUAAUUAAUAUUGGUCAAUAAUUAAUUAAGAAUUAAUUUUGUGAUCAAGUGUAAUUAAUUAAACUAGAGGGGCUGAAUUGUAAUUAUGUGAUAGUUACAAAAUAAGGUAAGGAUUAUCUUAUAUAUAUGGUGAACGAAUUUGAGGUGUAAAUCCCUUAGAAUUCGACUAGGAUAAGGAUUUCUAGGACUUAUCUUAUGGUUGCUUGGUGGACAAGCAACUAGAUAAGGAUAAGGACUAAAACCCUAAUCUUUACACCUAUAUAAACCCCCUAAGGCUUAUGAAUUCGUCCAACCCUUCCCAAGAAGUCCUAGGGACGAAUUCUAACACCUCUCCUCUCUCUUUAUACCUUCUCCACUUGCUUAUGGUGUUUGUAAGCCAUUAGAGGAGUGACACUUGUGACUCUCAGCUUUCCAAGGUCAAUUCAAGGAGGAAUUGGAUUGUUAUUGCUAUAUAACAAUCAAGGUAUGUUCUUAAACCUAAUUACAUGUGAAUUCUGAUUUCCAUAUGCUAGAAUUAGGGUUCAAAGUCUUGGAUUCAAAGUAUGUACAAUAGAGAAACCUAGAUCCAAGCUUUAGGGUUUGUAUGAGCACAUAGGAUGUCUUAUGACCAAAACCCAUCAGUGGUAUCAGAGCCAUGAUUGGUUUCUAUUGUAUUGAUGCUUGAUGUAACUGAAAAUCGUGUUUUGGCCUCACUGUUCGACCUGACUCGGCGAGUCACUCUUGGACUCGGCGAGUCAGCCCUACUCGGCGAGUUCCAGAGGGUGACUCGGCGAGUCGGUGCGUCAGACAGUGCUUAUCUCGGGAUUUCUUGCUGUUUUUGCAUUGGGAUAAUUACCUUAUCAUGUUAGAUUAAUAUUAAUCCGAUUAUAUGAUAUAUUUGACUAUAUUUUUAAUCUAAUUGAAGAUAUUUAUCAAUUAAUAAGAUAAUUGUUUCCUUAUAAGAUAAUUGAUUAAUUAUUUUAAGUAAAUUGAUAAAUUAUUUUGCAAGAAAUCAUCAAAUAUGGAUAAUUAUGUGAUUAAAUGUUAAUUUGAAUUAUUUGUUAUUUGAUCCUUGUUGUUGUGAAAAGUUUCAUAUUUGGCCCUUUAGGUUUUAUAGUUUAAAUUUGAACCCCAAAAGUUUUGUUGUUUUGAAAUUUAAAUAGUUGAAACCCUAAUGUUUUGAAAAAGGUUUCAAAACUUGCCCUCAAGUUUUGGAAUUUAAAUUUUGAUUAAAUAGUUUAAUUUUGAUGCAUAUUUAAAUUCUAAACCCUAAUGUGUUGAAAUGUUUCAAAACUUGCCCUCAAGUUUUGGAAUUUAAAAGUUGAUUAAAAGUUUAAUUAGGAAUGUUAAAUUCUAAAACUCUAGUAUAGUUUUGAAAAAGUUCAAAUCACACCCUUAUGGUUUUAUUAAUUAAUUAAGGUGUAUAAUUAAAAGAGGUUUAAUAAAUCCAUAAAAGUUUAGGUUUACAAUUUAAUUGAAUUAAAAGUAUAAUUGUUAAAUUAGACCACCUAGUAUUUUAAAAGUAUAAAAUACACCCUAUACUAUAUAUAACAUUAAAAGUCUAACAUUAUAUAUAUGUAUGAGUAAAAGUCAGUCUUACCGUUAGUAGGCCUCAUUCACGAAGCUGGUCUAUAAGGGGUGUUUAAGGAAAUUGCCUAUAAAAUGGCGAUUGAAUGGGUAUCCACUCUUACCCACCGCACUCUUGACUAGUGGAGGGUCGUUAGCCGAACGGGUAGGAUAGGACGAAACCUUCCAUUAUAAGUAUAAUGAAUUAUUAAAGUAACUAAAUGUUUUCAUAAAAUUCCCAAUCUUAGUUACUUAGGCAAAAGUGAAUUGAUGCAAUUCCAUGAAAUUACACUUUGUGCCCUUGCGAAGACGUUAGUGGAGCGUGUGUGGUUAACCGGCACACUAAAUGGUUCUAAGCAAAGGUAGCAAAGGGUGACUCAAUGUUUGUCAUAGUUCGGUGGAGCGUGUGUGGUUUACCGGCACAUCGAAUAGGUGACUGUAACAUGUGAGGGCACCAUGUAAGUUUGCAUGGUUAUUCACACCCGCUUUGUGAUCCUCGGCAUCCCAGUCACAAACAAGAGGGGCAUAUCGAGAUUUAAACAUGCCAUUGAAAGUUCAAUGAAUCUCAAAGGAUCUAGGAGUUUUCAUAGAUUUAAAACUUAAAUUUCUUUUUCGUUUUUCAUGGUGGAAAUUAGUGAAUCGUCAUUCACUUACCUUCAAAUAUUCUGCAAUUAGGGUUACGGCAUCCCUCUCCCGAGUUGUAGAAUAUUGUGUUGGGUCCUAGCCUUAGUAUCUCAUUUGGGUGAUUUACUAAGGACUCAAUCAAUCAACUAACUUGAAUUCGUUUUCUCCCGUUUUGUAGAUGUCAAAGUUCGACAACUAUGGUCUUCCCAAAUCCCGUGGAACAAGCAUUCCACAUGAAGAUGAUAUUCCACGAUUCGAUCGAGGAACAAGAAAUCAUGCUUCACUUCCUCCUCCUCCUCCAAUUAUUCUCCCUAACCCACAAGUUCAAAGGCUUGAAAAGUUCAAGAUCACUCAAGCCCUUUUGGCAAGUAAACAUAAAGAAGGAAAGUCGGUGUGUGCACACGUCCUAGGGAUGAAGUCACACAUUGAUAGGUUAAGAAUGUUGGGAUCCGUUGUCUGUGAGGAAAUGGCUGUUGAUUGGGUUCUUCAGUCACUUCCUAACUCAUAUAGUGAGUUCGUAAGAGAGUACUAU